GUCGAACGGUAACAGGGAUUAGCUUGCUAAUUUGCUGACGAGUGGCGCACGGGUGCGUAACGCGUAUACAAUCUACCUUUUGCUGAGGGAUAGCCCAGAGAAAUUUGGAUUAAUACCUCAUGGUAUUAUUGAUAGGCAUCUAUUAAUAAUUAAAGGUUACGGCAAAAGAUGAGUAUGCGUCCCAUUAGCUAGUUGGUGAAGUAACGGUUCACCAAGGCAACGAUGGGUAGGGGUCCUGAGAGGGAGAUCCCCCACACUGGUACUGAGACACGGACCAGACUCCUACGGGAGGCAGCAGUGAGGAAUAUUGGACAAUGGGCGAGAGCCUGAUCCAGCCAUGCCGCGUGCAGGAAGACUGCCCUAUGGGUUGUAAACUGCUUUUAUACAGGAAGAAUAAGCCUUACGUGUAAGGUGAUGACGGUACUGUAAGAAUAAGGACCGGCUAACUCCGUGCCAGCAGCCGCGGUAAUACGGAGGGUCCGAGCGUUAUCCGGAAUUAUUGGGUUUAAAGGGUCCGUAGGCGGAUGAUUAAGUCAGGGGUGAAAGUUUGCAGCUCAACUGUAAAAUUGCCUUUGAUACUGGUCAUCUUGAGUUGUAUUG
rnacentral:rRNA from 1 species